AUUGAACGCUGGCGGCAUGCUUUACACAUGCAAGUCGAACGGCAGCGCGGGCUUCGGCCUGGCGGCGAGCGGCGAACGGGUGAGUAAUGCAUCGGAACGUGCCCAGUAGUGGGGGAUAGCCUGGCGAAAGCCGGAUUAAUACCGCAUACGACCUGAGGGUGAAAGCGGGGGACCGAAAGGCCUCGCGCUAUUGGAGCGGCCGAUGUCGGAUUAGCUAGUUGGUGGGGUAAAGGCUUACCAAGGCGACGAUCCGUAGCUGGUCUGAGAGGACGACCAGCCACACUGGGACUGAGACACGGCCCAGACUCCUACGGGAGGCAGCAGUGGGGAAUUUUGGACAAUGGGGGCAACCCUGAUCCAGCCAUGCCGCGUGCGGGAAGAAGGCCUUCGGGUUGUAAACCGCUUUUGUUCGGGAAGAAAUCCUCUGGGCUAAUACCCCGGGGGGAUGACGGUACCGGAAGAAUAAGCACCGGCUAACUACGUG
rnacentral:rRNA from 1 species